AUUUAUAAGAAUAUGAUGUUGGUUCAGAUUAAGCGCUAAAUAAGGACAUGACACAUGCGAAUCAUACGUUUAUUAUUGAUAAGAUAAUAAAUAUGUGGUGUAAACGUGAGUAAUUUUAUUAGGAAUUAAUGAACUAUAGAAUAAGCUAAAUACUUAAUAUAUUAUUAAAAAAAAAUAAUUUAUAUAAUAAAAAGGAUAUAUAUAUAAUAUAUAUUUAUCUAUAGUCAAGCCAAUAAUGGUUUAGGUAGUAGGUUUAUUAAGAGUUAAACCUAGCCAACGAUCCAUAAUCGAUAAUGAAAGUUAGAACGAUCACGUUGACUCUGAAAUAUAGUCAAUAUCUAUAAGAUACAGCAGUGAGGAAUAUUGGACAAUGAUCGAAAGAUUGAUCCAGUUACUUAUUAGGAUGAUAUAUAAAAAUAUUUUAUUUUAUUUAGUUCCGGGGCCCGGCCACGGGAGCCGGAACCCCGAAAGGAGAAAUAUUAAAUAUUUAUAAUAAUAAUAAUAAUAUAUAUAUAUAAAUUGAUUAAAAAUAAAAUCCAUAAAUAAUUAAAAUAAUGAUAUUAAUUACCAUAUAUAUUUUUAUAUGGAUAUAUAUAUUAAUAAUAAAAUUAAUUUAUUAUUAUUAAUAAUAUAUUUUAAUAGUCCUGACUAAUAUUUGUGCCAGCAGUCGCGGUAACACAAAGAGGGCGAGCGUUAAUCAUAAUGGUUUAAAGGAUCCGUAGAAUGAAUUAUAUAUUAUAAUUUAGAGUUAAUAAAAUAUAAUUAAAGAAUUAUAAUAGUAAAGAUGAAAUAAUAAUAAUAAUUAUAAGACUAAUAUAUGUGAAAAUAUUAAUUAAAUAUUAACUGACAUUGAGGGAUUAAAACUAGAGUAGCGAAACGGAUUCGAUACCCGUGUAGUUCUAGUAGUAAACUAUGAAUACAAUUAUUUAUAAUAUAUAUUAUAUAUAAAUAAUAAAUGAAAAUGAAAGUAUUCCACCUGAAGAGUACGUUAGCAAUAAUGAAACUCAAAACAAUAGACGGUUACAGACUUAAGCAGUGGAGCAUGUUAUUUAAUUCGAUAAUCCACGACUAACCUUACCAUAUUUUGAAUAUUAUAAUAAUUAUUAUAAUUAUUAUAUUACAGGCGUUACAUUGUUGUCUUUAGUUCGUGCUGCAAAGUUUUAGAUUAAGUUCAUAAACGAACAAAACUCCAUAUAUAUAAUUUUAAUUAUAUAUAAUUUUAUAUUAUUUAUUAAUAUAAAGAAAGGAAUUAAGACAAAUCAUAAUGAUCCUUAUAAUAUGGGUAAUAGACGUGCUAUAAUAAAAUGAUAAUAAAAUUAUAUAAAAUAUAUUUAAUUAUAUUUAAUUAAUAAUAUAAAACAUUUUAAUUUUUAAUAUAUUUUUUUAUUAUAUAUUAAUAUGAAUUAUAAUCUGAAAUUCGAUUAUAUGAAAAAAGAAUUGCUAGUAAUACGUAAAUUAGUAUGUUACGGUGAAUAUUCUAACUGUUUCGCACUAAUCACUCAUCACGCGUUGAAACAUAUUAUUAUCUUAUUAUUUAUAUAAUAUUUUUUAAUAAUUAUUAAUAUUAUUAAUUUUUAUUUAUUUAUAUCAGAAAUAAUAUGAAUUAAUGCGAAGUUGAAAUACAGUUACCGUAGGGGAACCUGCGGUGGGCUUAUAAAUAUC
rnacentral:ncRNA from 1 species